rnacentral:rRNA from 1 species
AAAAGCUCGUAGUUGGAUCUCAGCUCCGGCCGGACGGUCCGCCUACCGGUGGUUACUGUUCGCUGCCGAGCGUUCAGGCGGUUAUUCUUGAUGAUCUUCACCGGUUGUCUCGGGUGACCGCCAAGUUUACUUUGAAAAAAUUAGAGUGCUCAAAGCAGGCGCGACGCCUGAAUAAUUGUGCAUGGAAUAAUGGAAUAGGACCUCGGUUCUAUUUUGUUGGUUUUCGGAACACGAGGUAAUGAUUAAGAGGGACAGACGGGGGCAUUCGUAUUGCGACGCUAGAGGUGAAAUUCUUGGACCGUCGCAAGACGAACUACUGCGAAAGCAUUUGCCAAGAAUGUUUCCAUUAAUCAAGAACGAAAGUUAGAGGUUCGAAGGCGAUCAGAUACCGCCCUAGUUCUAACCAUAAACGAUGCCAGCCAGCGAUCCGGCUGUGUUCCUCAAAUGACACGCCGGGCAGCUUCCGGGAAACCAAAGCUUUUGGGUUCCGGGGGAAGUAUGGUUGCAAAGCUGAAACUUAAAGGAAUUGACGGAAGGGCACCACCAGAAAUGGAGCCUGCGGCUUAAUUUGACUCAACACGGGWAAACUUACCCRGCCCGGACACAGGAAGGAUUGACAGAUUAAGAGCUCUUUCUUGAUUCUGUGGGUGGUGGUGCAUGGCCGUUCUUAGUUGGUGGGGCGACUUGUCUGGUUAAUUCCGAUAACGAACGAGACUCUAGCCUACUAAAUAGACGUUCCCAUCCUCUUUYGUGGGACGUUCUUCUUAGAGGGACAAGCGGCGUUUAGCCGCACGAGACAGAGCAAUAACAGGUCUGGGAUGCCCUUAGAUGUCCGGGGCCGCACGCGCGCUACAUUGAAGGAAUCAGCGUGUGCUUUCCCUGUCCGAAAGGAAUGGGUAACCCGUUGAACCUCCUUCGUGCUGGGGAUUGGCCNNUGUAAUUGNGGCCAUGAACGAGGAAUUUCCAGUAAGCACGAGUCAUCAGCUCGUGUUGAUUACGUCCCUGCCCUUUGUCCACACCGCCCGUCGCUACUACCGAUUGAAUGAUUUAGUGAGGUCUUCSGACUGGCGCUCGGAUUGGCCUUCGYGGUCGAACCGGUGUGCCGGAAAGAUGACCAAACUUGAUCAUUUAGAGGAAGUAAAAGUCGUAACAAGGKUUU